CACGUAGGGCGCAAGCGUUGUCCGGAAUUAUUGGGCGUAAAGAGCUCGUAGGCGGACUGUCACGUCUGCUGUGAAAAGCUGGGGCUUAACCCUGGCCUUGCAGUGGAUACGGGCAGACUAGAGGUAGGUAGGGGAGAAUGGAAUUCCUGGUGUAGCGGUGAAAUGCGCAGAUAUCAGGAGGAACACCGGUGGCGAAGGCGGGUCUCUGGGCCGAUACUGACGCUGAGGAGCGAAAGCGUGGGGAGCGAACAGG
rnacentral:rRNA from 1 species